rnacentral:rRNA from 1 species
CGCAUCUGUGCAUGCAGCAUAUCAAUAAGCGGAGGAAAAGAAACUAACAAGGAUUCCCUUAGUAACGGCGAGUGAAGCGGGAAGAGCUCAAAUUUGAAAUCUUCAAGGUUUUACCUUGACGAAUUGUAGUUUAAAGAAGUGUUUUCUGUUGAAGUUUUGGUAAAAGUUCUUUGGGAUAGGACAUCAUAGAGGGUGAGAAUCCCGUAUUUGACCAUUAUUUUCAGCUGUGUGAUACACUUUCAAAGAGUCGGAUUGUUUGGGAAUGCAGUCCAAAAUGGGUGGUAAAUUUCAUCUAGAGCUAAAUAUUGGCGAGAGACCGAUAGCGAACAAGUACCGUGAGGGAAAGAUGAAAAGAACUUUGAAAAGAGAGUUAAACAGUACGUGAAAUUGUCAAAAGGGGAAGCGUUUGACACCAGUGUUGUUUUCUCGAAAAUCAAUUAAAAAGAGUUUAGAUUUUGUUGUGUAUUGACCUUAACAGCUUGCAUUUCAAUUUUCUUGCUUUUUUUAAUGCACUUUUCGUUUAACAAGUCAACAUCAGUUUCUUUUGUUGUAAAAAGGUCAUUGGAAGGUGGCUUUCUUUUCGGAGAAAGUGUUUAUAGCCUUUGACUCCUGCAAUCGGAGAGACUGAGGUCUGCAGCGUAGAUCCUUCGGGGUUAGAUACAUUUGUGCUAAGUUAUAGCUUUUUAUAGACAACUUGUUGACUAUGAGUUAGUCUUGUAGCUUACUCGCUUAUGUUAUUUUACCUACGCUUAGGAUGUUGAUGUGAUACUGCGAGC